rnacentral:rRNA from 1 species
UACGUAGGGUGCAAGCGUUAAUCGGAAUUACUGGGCGUAAAGCGUGUGCAGGCGGUUAUGCAAGACAGAUGUGAAAUCCCCGGGCUUAACCUGGGAACCGCAUUUGUGACUGCAUAGCUGGAGUACGGCAGAGGGGGAUGGAAUUCCGCGUGUAGCAGUGAAAUGCGUAGAUAUGUGGAGGAAUACCGAUGGCGAAGGCAGCCCCCUGGGAUAACACUGACGCUCAUGCACGAAAGCGUGGGGAGCAAACAGG